CACCCGGACUCUUUUUUUUCCUGCCCCCCCCGUUCCCGGCCCCGCUGCCUCCACCCAGCCGAGGGUGGUUACGGGGGGGGCUUUGUCUGGUCAGUCUUCCUGUAGCGAGCUGGGAGUAUCGGGGGGUUGCUGGGUUGCUAGACUGGUCAGCCAGAGGUUGGCAGCUGGGUUAGCGGAAGGCAUCCAGCUGGUUGGUCUCUCUUGCCCGUGAUCCGGCACUCCCGCCGUUCAGGGCCAGCAAGUUAACCCACCCCUACGCUGAGUUGUGUGAGGUCACUCCCGCGACAUACCUUUGAGGAUCUGGGCCAAGCUGUCUGGUACGUCUCACGCGGGAACAGGAUUCUCUUAUCUACAGAAGAGCGGAAAACCAGGACUGAACAGCAGCGGAGUCGCCCAGGUGCAAAUCAAUGGCCCGCCCGCCUUCUCUCUAAAAGGUCCGUCCGACUUUCUUCAGCGCCAGGGAGUUACAAAUAAAAUCCACAUUCUACA